GUUCUCGUGGUGUAGUGGUUAUCAUACUCUCUUAGGGUGAUCUAACAUCUUGAGCUUUGCCUCCUCGUCUCCUCUUGGGAGACGGAUUGGGAGUGGCCCCGGGUUCAAAUCCCGGCGAGGACC